rnacentral:lncRNA from 1 species
CCCGAGGUUGCUUUUAAAAGCUGUUGUCAAAAGACCAUUGCUUUUAAAAUAAGCAGGAUAUUUUAUUUUUACCAAACACCUUAAACUGUUUAACUUUAAAGUUAAGCAGGUUUUUGGCCAAAAAAAACAGUCCCAAAUGGGGCCUAACCCAUUCUUUAUUCAAAUUAAAAACAAAACUGAAAGCAUAAAAUAUAAAUGGCUAAACUGGAGCCUACCCA